GACGAACGCUGGCGGCGUGCUUAACACAUGCAAGUCGAGCGGUAAGGCCCUUUCGGGGGUACACGAGCGGCGAACGGGUGAGUAACACGUGGGUGACCUGCCCCUUGCUCUGGGAUAAGCCUGGGAAACCGGGUCUAAUACCGGAUAUGACUCCAUGACGCAUGUUGUGGGGUGGAAAGCCUUGUGCGGCUGGGGAUGGGCCCGCGGCCUAUCAGCUUGUUGGUGGGGUGAUGGCCUACCAAGGCGA
rnacentral:rRNA from 1 species